rnacentral:rRNA from 1 species
GAUGAACGCUAGCGGCAGGCCUAAUACAUGCAAGUCGAACGAUAUUACCCAGCUUGCUGGGUAUGAAAGUGGCGCACGGGUGCGUAACGCGUAUGCAACCUACCUUAUUCAGGGGGAUAGCCCGAAGAAAUUCGGAUUAACACCGCAUAAAAUCACAGUUCAGCAUUGGACAAUGAUCAAAUAUUUAUAGGAAUAAGAUGGGCAUGCGUGUCAUUAGCUAGUUGGCGGGGUAACGGCUCACCAAGGCGACGAUGACUAGGGGAUCUGAGAGGAUGACCCCCCACACUGGUACUGAGACACGGACCAGACUCCUACGGGAGGCAGCAGUAAGGAAUAUUGGUCAAUGGAGGCAACUCUGAACCAGCCAUGCCGCGUGCAGGAAGACGGCCCUCUGGGUUGUAAACUGCUUUUAUUCGGGAAUAAACCUAUUUACGUGUAAAUAGCUGAAUGUACCGAAGGAAUAAGGAUCGGCUAACUCCGUGCCAGCCGCCGCGGUAA